GCUCACACCGGGGCAGCAGCCGCGGGAAGGCGGAGGGGGCGAGCGUGAAGCGUAAGUACUGGGCGUAAAGCGUGCGCAGGCGGUGGUGUAAGACAGAGGUGAAAUCCCCGGGCGCAACCUGGGAACUGCCUGUGUGACUGCAAGGCUAGAGUACGGCAGAGGGGGAUGGAAUUCCGCGUGUAGCAGUGAAAUGCGUAGAUAUGCGGAGGAACACCGAUGGCGAAGGCAAUCCCCUGGGCCUGUACUGACGCUCAUGCACGAAAGCGUGGGGAGCAAACAGGAUUAGAUACCCGAGUAGUC
rnacentral:rRNA from 1 species